rnacentral:tRNA from 1 species
GCCUCGGUGCUGCAGUUGGCAGCGCGUCAAACUCCUAAUCUGAAGUCCGUGAGUUCGAACCUCACCUAGGGUA